GCAAUGCCUGUACCAAACACGUUGGUGGGGCCUUGAGGUUAGCAGGUGACACCAGGGAGGGCCAUAGCUCUCCUGCAGGUGUCAGACUCCGUCUUUAACAUUCUUAGUGUUGGGGUCUGGAAGCCAGUGGUCUCCUAGGCAACAGCAUUCCUAAGCACAUUACCUAGAGCUCAAAGACAUUAGGUCAGACGUGGAAGUCGCUAAUGCACGGCUAUUACGAAGACUGAAGACAGGCUGAGAUAAUGUUGACUGUCCAUCUGCAGCACUCCACCUCUACAAUUACAAGGUUCCUAGCCAGUCAGCCUCUGCGGCCUCCAAGCCAGACGUGUCUUUUUCGGGCAGCCUCUGCCUGCAUUGGUUCACUUGCUCUUCCUUGGUGGGAAUAUCCUCCAGAAGCCUCCUCAAAGAAUGCUCACGGGUACAUGCAGAGGCCAGAAGAGAUCUCCUGGAUCUGGAGUCGUGCGUAGUGGCGAGCCACCGGAAGUGCGUGCUGGAAACUGCACGAGCAGUGAACCCAGCGGAUCCGGGCACCCCUGGCUGUCUAUAACAAGGUACAGAGGCUCCUCGUCAGCAAAGUCCUCCAAUUGCUUAUCCUCAGCCAUCCUCACUGGAGCAGGAGAAGAUGAAGGAGGGGAUAGAGGAGAUGGGAAACUGCCCUCAAGACUAACAGGUCCUGUGGCUAAAGUCAAGGAAACCCGUUCCUGCCUCAGCCUCUGAGCCCCUAUGCUCCCACUGCAGAUGAGAAUCCAUUCUGGCUGCUGUGCCCUGCCCUCUAAGAUCUGCCAUUUCUGAGGCCUGCUGCUCUGAGCCUGUGACUCUCGUGGAGAUCUACGAGACGGUGACAUUUCUAACGUGUGUCAGCAAACUCUCUGCCAGCCUCUUGCAGCUACCGAGAGUUCACAUCCUAGGGUUCCAUUUAAUUGUGGUCUCCUCCGCUCAAAUUGUUCAUUUCCCAUUGAUAAAGUUCCCCUUGGUCGCUCAUUCUUAACCUCUGCCCACUUCAGUC